rnacentral:misc_RNA from 1 species
CCGAACGGUAGUCAUUCCUGUGCAGUGCCCACACAGAUUGUCUGAUGAAAGAAAGAAUGAGCAGCGUCUGCGAAGAAGACUUGAAGUCCCCUUCGUCUAGAGGCCUAGGACACCGCCCUUUCACGGCGGUAACAGGGGUUCGAAUCCCCUAGGGGACGCCACUUUGCUCGCGGGACUGGGUGAAGGCCGGUGCCAACCGAUAUUGUUAAGCGUGACUUGCGAGUCAGUUUAGCAAUGUUUGCUCUUUAACAAUCUGGAACAAGCUGAAAAUUUGAAACACUCAGUACUGUCACACGGUACUGAGAAGUCUCUCAAAAACUCCGAUCCGAAGACACCUUCGGGUUGUGA